AGUGAACGCUGGCGGUAGGCCUAACACAUGCAAGUCGAACGGCAGCACAGUAAGAGCUUGCUCUUACGGGUGGCGAGUGGCGGACGGGUGAGGAAUACAUCGGAAUCUACUUUUUCGUGGGGGAUAACGUAGGGAAACUUACGCUCAUACCGCAUCCGACCUACGGGUGAAAGCAGGGGAUCUUCGGACCUUGCGCGAUUGAAUGCGCCGAUGUCGGAUUAGCUAGUUGGCGGGGUAAAGGCCCACCAAGGCGACGAUCCGUAGCUGGUCUGAGAGGAUGGUCAGCCACACUGGAACUUAGACACGGUCCAGACUCCUACGGGAGGCAGCAGUGGGGAAUAUUGGACAAUGGGCGCAAGCCUGAUCCAGCCAUACCGCGUGGGUGAAGAAGGCCUUCGGGUUGUAAAGCCCUUUUGUUGGGAAAGAAAAGCAGCAGGUUAAUACCCCGCUGUUCUGACGGUACCCAAAGAAUAAGCACCGGCUAACUUCGUG
rnacentral:rRNA from 1 species